rnacentral:rRNA from 1 species
AAACUUUCAACAACGGAUCUCUUGGUUCUGGCAUCGAUGAAGAACGCAGCGAAAUGCGAUAAGUAAUGUGAAUUGCAGAAUUCAGUGAAUCAUCGAAUCUUUGAACGCACAUUGCGCCCGCCAGUAUUCUGGCGGGCAUGCCUGUUCGAGCGUCNUUU